UACGUAGGGUGCGAGCGUUAAUCGGAAUUACUGGGCGUAAAGCGUGCGCAGGCGGUUCGUCGUGUCCGAUGUGAAAGCCCCGGGCUCAACCUGGGAAUGGCAUUGGAAACUGGCGGACUCGAGUGUGGCAGAGGGGGGUGGAAGUUCCGGCGUGUAGCAGUGAAAUGACGUAGAGAUGUGGAGGAACACCGAUGGCGAAGGCAGCCCCCUGGGUCGACACCUGGACGCUCCAUGCACGAAAGCGUGGGGAGCAAAC
rnacentral:rRNA from 1 species